GUUGCAUCGUAAGGCUCCGCCUUGUGUUGAGACUGCCUGCAAAGGCAUUCUCCAAACCUAUGGGCGUCUGUCGUGCCUGAAUCGCAACAAACUGCGUGCAAGGGCAGUCUGGCAGUCGCCUACAAAACCGUCUA
rnacentral:misc_RNA from 1 species